GAUGAAGAACGUAGCGAAAUGCGAUAAGUAGUGUGAAUUGCAGGCUUUAGUGAAUCAUCGAAUCUUUGAACGCACAUUGCGCCCGCCAGUAUUCUGGCGGGCAUGCCUGUCCGAGCGUCAUUUCAACCCUCGAACCCCUCCGGGGGGUCGGCGUUGGGGAUCGGCCCUUUCACCGGGUGCCGGCCCCUAAAUACAGUGGCGGUCUCGCCGCAGCCUCUCAUGCGCAGUAGUUUGCACACUCGCACCGGGAGCGCGGCGCGUCCUCGUCCGUAAAACACCCCAAACUUCUGAAAUGUUGACCUCGGAUCAGGUAGGAAUACCCGCUGAACUUAAGCAUAUCAAUAAGCGGAGGA
rnacentral:misc_RNA from 1 species